UGUGUGUGACGUCACAAUUAUGGUCACAUGGUGUGCAGGAGCUGCCUUUAGACUCGUUCGUUUUACCAACUAUCGUCACUUCCGCUUUCGUUUUGGUUGUAAAGUUGGUGCAUUGAACUUGGAGCACUGCCAUCGCGUCGUUUUGCGUGUAUGUUAAGGUGUCUCGCUUCUCCUUAGUAUGGAUCUAUGAUUUAAUAGUUUUACAGUUACGUCAUGCCUACAUACCCGGAUAGUCUCGAUGCAAGUCCCCCAGAAUGCAUGCCGCAUGGUUAUAGAUGGCGGUCGAGAUUCCAGUGUAUGCUAAAUCAACUCCGAGCGAAUAAAGACUUCAGCAAGUUAAACAAGCCAGAUAUUGACAAAAUACCUUUUGCAGUGUGCACAUGCUUGCAGAGUAACAGGGACUACACUGUGAAGCUCGAACCAGAUAAAAGAUGGGAAGAAAUUCCAGAUGAAGAAUACAAGGCAGCAGAACGAUACUUUGAUCAAUACGUGGAAAGCUUAGAUAAAACUUCUGAAUACUAUUCAUUAUUAAAAUAUCACUUCUCUGCCCUUCAAAAGCAUGAAGAACUCCAGAAUAAGUCAAGUAGUCAGAGGUUUUUACUCUUAUUCCAAAGGAACCACCAGUCAGACGAUAAAGAACUCUUAAAUAGACCGACAAAACGGACAGAAGGAGAUAAAGAAGAAGCUAAACGGAUUAAACAGACAGUACACCUACCGUCGCUGAAUAAGGACUACAUACCCUUAUUCUGUGGGCGCAAUGGUAGAAACCUGAGACGGUAUCUUCAGGGCAAGAAGAAAGUCAAAGUGCAACUAGAAACAAAGGAUGACCAAGUGUAUGCCACCAUUGUGUGUAAAGCACAGGACCGGGAGAAGAUUGUGGAGAGACUCACAAAAGAAGCCGAGUUGUUAGCAGAAAGGAGAAAAAUCCAUGAUGAGAAUCAAAGAGAAUAUUUACAAAGAAUGGAAUUGGAUGCGAAUAGUCAGGAGGAGGAAGACAUGGACUCGUAGUUAUACAGUAAAUAUUGCUUGAUUGAAAAAAAACUACAAGGAACAAGCAAAAAUCUGUUGCUGUAGUGACCACCUUAUGGUAACAGACUAUAUCUACAAUGCUGUAUAUUCUUUUUUUAAUGUACAACUUAUCAAAAUGUUAUUUGAUGUGUAAGAUAUGUUCAAAUAAAGUCCACACAAAUAAUCUUGAA